UGGGGAAUUUUGCACAAUGGGGGAAACCCUGAUGCAGCGACGCCGCGUGAUUUAGAAGGCCUUCGGGUUGUAAAAAUCUUUUCUAUGGGAAGAAAAUGACAGUACCAUAGGAAUAAGGACCGGCUAAUUACGUGCCAGCAGCCGCGGUAAUACGUAAGGUCCGAGCGUUGUCCGGAAUCAUUGGGCGUAAAGGGUACGUAGGCGGGUAAGCAAGUUAGAAGGGAAAUCCUAUAGCUCAACUAUAGUAAGCUUUUAAAACUGCUCCUCUUGAGAUAGGGAAGGGAAAGUGGAAUUCCUAGUGUAGCGGUGAAAUGCGCAGAUAUUAGGAGGAAUACCGGUGGCGAAGGCGACUUUCUGGGCAUAACCUGACGCUGAGGUACGAAAGCGUGGGUAGCAAACAGG
rnacentral:rRNA from 1 species